rnacentral:rRNA from 1 species
UACGGAGGAUGCAAGCGUUAUCCGGAAUGAUUGGGCGUAAAGCGUCCGCAGGUGGCUGUGUAAGUCUGCUGUUAAAGAGUGAGGCUCAACCUCAUAAAAGCAGUGGAAACUACACAGCUAGAGUGCGUUCGGGGCAGAGGGAAUUCCUGGUGUAGCGGUGAAAUGCGUAGAGAUCAGGAAGAACACCGGUGGCGAAAGCGUUCUGCUAGACCUGUACUGACACUGAGGGACGAAAGCUAGGGGAGCGAAUGGG